UACCCUGAACGGUGGAUCACUUGGCUCGUGGGUCGAUGAAGAACGCAGCUAAUUGCGCGUCAACUUGUGAACUGCAGGACACAUGAACAUCGACAUUUCGAACGCACAUUGCUGUCCACGGAUACAAUUCCCGGACCACGCCUGGCUGAGGGUCG
rnacentral:rRNA from 1 species